UCCCUGGUGGCCUAAUGGUUAAGGCUCCUGUGUGCUCACUACCAUGGCCCAGGUUCGAUCCCUGGGCAGGGAA
rnacentral:tRNA from 1 species